AGUACAUUCUCUACGACAAUGGCAAAUAUCCCUGACAGCUUGUUCGCCUAUGUAAAAUGAAGACUAACUACAUGUUCUCCGAGGUCCCUUCCAGAUCCUAUGCACAAAGCAUAAAGAUAAGGUGAGAAUUUGGUGCAAUUACAAAGCAUUCUGGGACGUGAGCAAGGACUUCUGGGGACUGGAGUCCUGGAUUCAAGUCUCCAUUUUUAUAAUAUUCUUGUGUGAAGUACAGUGAUAAAAGGUAAUGUUGACAAAGUUGUGUGAAAGGUACAGUAAUGAAUUCUAAAGCAGUUCAGUGGAGGGAAAGUAGGUCAGAGUUGGUGGAUGGGUGGCAAUAAGGGAAACCUUCAUGAAGUUGGUGACAUAUGAUCUGAUCCUUGAAGGAAGGGUAAUAGUGUGACAGGUGAUGAUUGAAACCAGAAGGGGAGAAAGUAUUUUAGGAAGAAAGAACAACAUAAAUAAAAUGAAAGAAAUGGGAAAACAUUAUAGGUUGGAGGAGCACUAGGUUGCCAGAUGCAUAGGGGUACAUGUAGGGAAGCAGUGGGAAUUUGGGCUGGAAUGACAGGGUAGCACCAGAUUAUAAAGGGCCAUGACUAUCAAGCUAAGGACUUUAGUCCUUAUUUGUUAGUCAAUGUGAGGCUAUUCCCUCUGCUUUGGUAGAGGGAGGGGAGGACUUGGAAAUGUUCCCUCUAUGAAUCAAAGAGGGAAGGAAUUCUGGGACUCUAAUCAAACCCUCAGGGCUCAGGAGAGUUGAGUUGUUACCUCGAAUUUAUUCUUCCCCUUGGUAAAUAAGUUAGAUUUCAGGCGAACAGAUGCUCCCGGCUCUGUGUUGAUGCAUUCAAACUAAGUAAUUGUCAAAUCUCAGCAACAGAUGAAGUCAUUAAAAAUCAGCUCCCCUGCGUCCUUAAAAGGAACCCAGAGUUGGGAAUGAAUUCCAGUCCUCUGCUAGGUUGCUGUUUCUCCAGGCAUAGAUAGGCCUUGUUUUCUCUUAUGGAAUGAGGAUGUUUAUAUCAAACAGUUUUAGAUUUUUCCCUUUGGCCUUUCAUUUACAGAACUCUAUAUAUCCUCUGGUACCAGGACUACAUCAAGGACGAGGAGGAGCUAAACAGAUAAAUGUCACUGGAUUAACAGAUGGGAAGCAAAGCAGAAUUUUGAAAUCUCCCUGCUGUUGUUAUAGUCAUCUCACCCUGGAGUACAGAGGAGGAGGAAGGAGUAUGUCUGAGCUCAGAAGUUCCUUUGAAAAAGAGGGCACAUUUGUCUACAAACCAAAUGGCUUCAAUGUAGGGGAUGGUGUUUCCCAUUUCUGCUCACAAGAAUGAGAACUGGAGGCUGAUGGGAAGGAGAGACCCCUAUGAAUAGGAGAAGGGUCUGGGACUGAAGCUGGAGAUCAUUAUUUCUUUAUAACCAAAUAUCUCAGGAGUGCCUGGUAAAAGAAUUAAAAAUAUGAAGGAAAUAGAUAUUUUUUCCAUUUCUGACUAACUCUCAAAAAACCCCCAACAAACCUUAGAAGAGAAAUUAUGUGCCAGAUGUGGAACAAUCACAGUAAAUGCCACAGGACUGAAAAUAAAGAGAAAGCCAACAAAAUAGAAGCCUAAUGA
ensembl:lncRNA